GAUGAACGCUAGCGGCAGGCCUAAUACAUGCAAGUCGAACGAGAUUACGAGGCUUGCUUCUUAUGAAAGUGGCGCACGGGUGCGUAACGCGUAUGCAACCUACCUUAAUCAGGGGGAUAGCCCGAAGAAAUUCGGAUUAAGACCGCAUAAAAACACAGGAUAGCAUUAUCCAAUGUUCAAAUAUUUAUAGGAUUAAGAUGGGCAUGCGUGUCAUUAGCUAGUUGGCGGGGUAACGGCCCACCAAGGCGACGAUGACUAGGGGAUCUGAGAGGAUGACCCCCCACACUGGUACUGAGACACGGACCAGACUCCUACGGGAGGCAGCAGUAAGGAAGAUUGGUCAAUGGAGGGAACUCUGAACCAGCCAUGCCGCGUGCAGGUAGACAGCCCUCUGGGUCGUAAACUGCUUUUAUUCGGGAAUAAACCUUUCUACGUGUAGGAAGCUGAAUGUACCGAAGGAAUAAGGAUCGGCUAACUCCGUG
rnacentral:rRNA from 1 species